CCUACGGGUGGCAGCAGUGGGGAAUAUUGGGCAAUGGGCGCAAGCCUGACCCAGCAACGCCGCGUGAAGGAAGAAGGCUUUCGGGUUGUAAACUUCUUUUCUCAGGGACGAAGCAAGUGACGGUACCUGAGGAAUAAGCCACGGCUAACUACGUGCCAGCAGCCGCGGUAAUACGUAGGUGGCAAGCGUUAUCCGGAUUUACUGGGUGUAAAGGCCGUGUAGGCGGGGACGCAAGUCAGAUGUGAAAACCACGGGCUGAACCUGUGGACUGCAUUUGAUAAUGGGUUUCUUGAGUACUGGAGAGGCAGGCGGAAUUCCUAGUGUAGCGGUGAAAUGCGUAGAUAUUAGGAGGAACACCAGUGGCGAAGGCGGUCUGCUGGACAGCAACUGACGCUGAGGCGCGAAAGCGUGGGGAGCAAACAGGAUUAGAUACCCGUGUAGUC
rnacentral:rRNA from 1 species